UACGGAGGGUGCAAGCGUUAUCCGGAUUCACUGGGUUUAAAGGGUGCGUAGGUGGGUCUGUAAGUCAGUGGUGAAAUCUUCGAGCUUAACUCGGAAACUGCCAUUGAUACUAUAGAUCUUGAAUUUUCUGGAGGUAAGCGGAAUAUGUCAUGUAGCGGUGAAAUGCUUAGAUAUGACAUAGAACACCAAUUGCGAAGGCAGCUUACUACGGGAACAUUGACACUGAGCACGAAAGCGUGGGGAUCAAACAGG
rnacentral:rRNA from 1 species